rnacentral:rRNA from 1 species
GAUUCAUAAUAACUUCUCGAAUCGCAUGGCCUUGUGCCGGCGAUGGUUCAUUCAAAUUUCUGCCCUAUCAACUUUCGAUGGCAGGGUCUUGGCCUGCCAUGGUUACAACGGGUAGCGGAGGGUUAGGGCUCGACCCCGGAGAAGGAGCCUGAGAAACGGCUACUACAUCCAAGGAAGGCAGCAGGCGCGCAAAUUACCCAAUCCCGAUUCGGGGAGGUAGUGACAAUAAAUACUGAUACAGGGCUCUUUUGGGUCUUGUAAUUGGAAUGAGUACAAUUUAAAUCCCUUAACGAGGAACAAUUGGAGGGCAAGUCUGGUGCCAGCAGCCGCGGUAAUUCCAGCUCCAAUAGCGUAUAUUAAAGUUGUUGCAGUUAAAAAGCUCGUAGUUGAACCUUGGGCCUGGCUGGCCGGUCCGCCUCACCGCGUGCACUGGUUCGGCCGGGCCUUUCCCUCUGGGGAGCCUCAUGCCCUUCACUGGGUGUGUUGGGGAACCAGGACUUUUAC